rnacentral:rRNA from 1 species
GGACUACCAGGGUAUCUAAUCCCGUUCGCUCCCCUAGCUUUCGCGCCUCAGCGUCAGAAGAGGUCCAGUACGUCGCUUUCGCCACCGGCGUUCCUUCCGAUAUCAACGCAUUUCACCGCUCCACCGGAAGUUCCACAUACCCCUACCUCCCUCAAGACCGCCAGUAUCCGAGGCACUUUUCCGGUUGAGCCGAAAGAUUUCACCCCGGACUUGGCAGCCCGCCUACGCGCCCUUUAAGCCCAGUGAUUCCGAACAACGUUCGCACGGUUCGUCUUACCGCGGCUGCUGGCAC